GGGAACAGCUCAGUGGCAGCGGGCAUGCCUAGCAUGCAUGAGGUCCUGGGUUCAAUCCCCAGUGCUUCCA
rnacentral:tRNA from 1 species